UCGAUUCCCUUAGUAGCGGCGAGCGAAACGGGAAGAGCCCAAACCAACAAGCUUGCUUGUUGGGGUUGUAGGACACUCUAUACGGAGUUACAAAGGACGACAUUAGACGAAUCAUCUGGAAAGAUGAAUCAAAGAAGGUAAUAAUCCUGUAGUCGAAAAUGUUGUCUCUCUUGAGUGGAUCCUGAGUACGACGGAGCACGUGAAAUUCCGUCGGAAUCUGGGAGGACCAUCUCCUAAGGCUAAAUACUCUCUAGUGACCGAUAGUGAACCAGUACCGUGAGGGAAAGGUGAAAAGCACCCCGGAAGGGGAGUGAAAUAGAACCUGAAACCGUGUGCUUACAAGUAGUCAGAGCCCGUUAAUGGGUGAUGGCGUGCCUUUUGUAGAAUGAACCGGCGAGUUACGAUUUGAUGCAAGGUUAAGCAGUAAAUGUGGAGCCGUAGCGAAAGCGAGUCUGAAUAGGGCGUUUAGUAUUUGGUCGUAGACCCGAAACCAGGUGAUCUACCCUUGGUCAGGUUGAAGUUCAGGUAACACUGAAUGGAGGACCGAACCGACUUACGUUGAAAAGUGAGCGGAUGAACUGAGGGUAGCGGAGAAAUUCCAAUCGAACCUGGAGAUAGCUGGUUCUCUCCGAAAUAGCU
rnacentral:rRNA from 1 species